AUGUCCAGCCCGAUCCCCGACCCGUCCGCCGCCGGCAGCUUCAUCUGCGCCGCGAACGCCUUCUUCAGCGCGCGGUACCCCUGCAGCUCCAGGUACGUGAUCGACGUGCCGGAGUCCACGAUCACUCCGCCUGUGCCGUCGUCCUGCACGGCGAACGCCGAGCUCGGCAGGGUGAUGUGCGUCGAACCGACCGUCAGGCCCUUGAGGUUCACGUAG
rnacentral:rRNA from 1 species